ACAUAGGCAAGCGCGGCCACAUAGGCUAGACGCACUAUCUUCUCCUCUACCCCGCGCCGCCCUCCACCUCGGAGCGGGGACGUACGGUGGUGGCGGUGACACAAUGCGAGUGAGUGGAGCCUUUGGAAGGAAUUGGGCCAUGAGAAGAGCCCUCAUGAAUGGGAUUAGUUCCCUUAUAAGAAGAGACACCAAGGAAGUGAUCUUUCUCUGCCCUCUGCUAUGUGAAGACAAGGUCAUCUGCAGUUUUUUGUUGUUGUUGAUGAUCUUCCUGUCAUAGACAAUGCUGUAACAAACAGACUAAUUGUUCACUGUUGACAUAUAGAAGUACUACUGAUUGGCCAGACAUAGUGGCUCAUGCCUGGAAUCCCAGCACUUUGGGAGGCCAAGGCAGGUGGAUCACUUGAGCCCAGAAGUUUGAGACCAGCCUGGGCAACAUGAUGAAACCCCAUCUCUACAAAAUAAAUAGAAAAAUUAGCUGGGUAUGGUGGCAUGUGCCAGUAGUCCCAGCUACAUGGGAGCCUGAGGUGGGAGGACGACUUGAGCCCAGGAGGUGGAGGUUACAGUGAGCUGAGAUCAUGCCACUGCACUCCAGCCUGGGUGACAGAGUGGGACUCUGUCUAAAAAAAAAAUUGUAUUAUCUGUAAACGGAAAUAUAAAUAAUUUAACUUCUUCUUUUCCAA
rnacentral:lncRNA from 1 species